GGCUGCGGACCACAUUUCCCAAGAACACCGCGUUUCUGGCCCCACCCAGUGUCCCAGAGUCCCUUUAGAGCUGGAAGCUGGGCUCCUCCCCGCGUUUCUUUCUGGGCCGCGGAGCUGUCCGCUCUAAAAACUGAGGGAGUUGUAGUUCAGGGAGGGGAAGAACUUGCACCGAGGGCUGUUAGGAACGAGUUUCAGGUUCGAAUCCCAUCUUACGGAAGAGAUGUGGUCUUGCUCUGUUGCUCAGGCUGAGUGCAGUGACUAUUCACAGGCUGGAUCCAGUGUACUGCAGUCUUGAACUCCUGGCUUACAGUCUUGCUGGUUUCUGAGAGGCAGGACAAGAAAGGCCACCAUGCUCUACAACUAGGUCCCAGGAAUUGGCUAACCCUGGCAAGGGAAGUCCCUUCAAAGUCAGCAAGGCUUCAUAUGUCAAAGCAUCGGAAUACAGAAAAUAAAAGACAUGGUUAACAGAGGGCACAAGCAGGACCAAAGUGCAUAAAUAAGCUGUACAGGCAGAUGGCCCAGCCUUUUAUGGCAUGAUGGUGUGACACCUUCCCUCAGUGCACACCUAUGAUAAUGGAGAACCAAUUAAUGGAGGAAGAACAAGUCCAACCUUGGUUCAUGGAAGAGUUGGCCCAAUAUGUGGGUACCAGCUGAAAAUGAACUGCUCCUACAUCACAGCUCUAUUUAGGAGUAGCCUUGAAAGAAACUGAUGAGAGGAUAUCCUUCCAAUGGACAGAGCUUCUGGUGAACAUCUGGGCAUUUAUUUUAUGUAGAAAGAGAAGUGGUUGGAAGUAAGAAUACACAUGAACAAAGAUGGCUUGCUUAGAUGGUUGGUCAAGGGGCUUAGAAGAUUGAAAGACUGGAGGCAAGGAGGUCUGGGGGAAAAUGCAGGUGGAUAGAGCCAUAUUAGGGAACAUGAAGUGUGUCUUAGUCUGCUAUGACAGAAUAUCACAGAGUGUGUAAUUUAUAAUGAACAGAACUUUAUUGGCUCAUGGUUCUAGAGGCUUGGAAGUCCAAUAUCAAGCAGCCGGUAUCUUGUGAGGGCCUUCUUGCUGCAUCAUCUCAUGUCAGAAGAGUGAAGACGGGGAGAGAGGGGAUAAAAAGGGCUGAAGUUCCCCUUUGUUAACAAGCCCACAUUCAUGAUCACAGCAUUGAUCCAUUCACUCUGCUCUCAAACCUAAUCACUUCUCAUCAGGCCUCACCUCCCAACACUGUAGUUAUUUUAUUGGGGGUUAAUUUUCCAACAUCAUGCUUUUUGGGGGACACAUUCAAACCAUUGCAAGGUGUGACAAUCUUUGUGUCAUAUGUUAAUGUUCACCACAGAGGAUCCACUACAGAAGUAUGAAACUACCAAGCAGCAGAAAGACUAGUUCAGUUGUCAUCAGCCCAUCUCUGCCACUAGCUACUCGAGUGCUGGCACAAUGCAUGAUAGAGUACCCAUGGAAGAAGGCAUGGAGGCUAUGCAUGGGUGGAUGUCCACAUGCUCCCAUUCUCCAAGGCUGAUCUAACUAUUGAUUCUUUGAACACCCAACCUACUAGCAAAAGAACACUGCUGAAUGUCUGGUGCAGUAUCAUCACUGGAGGAGCCCAUCAAGCUCAGUAACAAGUUAAUUACAUAGGGCACUUUCCACUGUGGAAGGAUCAGAGAUGGAUCUUAACUGGAAUAGACACAUGUUUGGGAUUCAACUUUAUCUGUUCUACCUGCAAAAUCUUGGAAAGCAGUACUCUCUGAGAGUUCCAACGCAGUGUUCCAAGUAACAUUCCUGUUAUCUGGAGGGUUUCAAGAGUCCAGGAAUGGAGGUCCCUAAACAAGAUUUGAGUUCGCAUGGUUUGAAUUCCAGUUCUGCUACAUGCUCCCCAUAUGUUCUCAAAUGAAUCAUUUAACCACUACCUCGCUUCUGUUUUCUUCCCUUUUUUAGUUUAAAUUUUUAAUUUGUAAUUGACAAAUCAUAAUUGUAUAUAAUUUAUUGGG